rnacentral:rRNA from 1 species
UACGGGGGGUGCAAGCGUUGCUCGGAAUUACUGGGCGUAAAGCGCGUGUAGGCGGUCUCGUGUGUCUGGCGUGAAAGCCCCGGGCUCACCCCGGGAAGUGCGUUGGAAACUGCGAGACUAGAGUUCCGGAGAGGAAGGUGGAAUUCCAGGUGUAGCGGUGAAAUGUGUAGAUAUCUGGAAGAACACCGGUGGCGAAGGCGGCCUUCUGGACGGUGACUGACGAUGAGACGCGAAAGCGUGGGGAGCAAACAGG